CAUUGGUGAGAAUCCAAUGCCCCAAAAAUCUAAGGGUUCCUCCACAAGGUUCGUCCACUGAGGGUGAGUCAGGGCCUAAGAUCAGGCUGAAAGGCAUAGUCGAUGGACAACAGGUGAAUAUUCAUAUACUACCCUUUGUUGGCCCCGAGGAACGGAGAAUUUAUAUAGAUAUAGGAGAAUGUGUUUAAAUAGAAAUGCACCACAAUCUAUAUUAAAGUUUGUUGGACAACUGGGGA
rnacentral:ncRNA from 1 species